AGAGUUUGAUCCUGGCUCAGGAUGAACGCUAGCGGCAGGCUUAAUACAUGCAAGUCGUGGGGCAGCACAGGUAGCAAUACUGGGUGGCGACCGGCAAACGGGUGCGGAACACGUACGGAACCUUCCUUUAAGCGGGGAAUAGCCCAGGGAAACUUGGAUUAAUACCCCAUAAGAUCAUAGGGUGGCAUCACCUAGUGAUU
rnacentral:rRNA from 1 species